GGAAGUAGGAAGGACUGCUCUCCCUGCCCAGAGAUGGGUCCUGUGCUUCCUGCCUGUUUAAAUGUCAGGAUCCCGAAAACCUCUUUUCAAAAGGAUAAACUCCUGUGGGUGGAAUUUGUGGUCUAGGAGGCCGAACAGAGACUUCUGAAUGAGUUUCCUCUCGUCUGACCCAACCCUCUAGUUCACACCUGAUUGGCUGCUUAAAUGGGAUGAAGGAAAGAGAGGAGAACAGUUUUUAAAUAAAUACUUAUUUUAAGUGUA
rnacentral:lncRNA from 1 species